UCGAGAAUCUUCGGCAAUGGGCGAAAGCCUGACCGAGCGACGCCGCGUGGAGGAUGAAGGCCUUCGGGUUGUAAACUCCUGUUGGGAGGAAGCAAAUUUUGAGCGACCUCCUGAGGAAGCACGGGCUAAGUUCGUGCCAGCAGCCGCGGUAAGACGAACCGUGCGAACGUUAUUCGGAAUCAUUGGGCUUAAAGGGCGCGUAGGCGGCGAUAUAAGUUGGAAGUGAAAUCCCAUCGGCUCAACCGUGGAAUAGCUCCCAGUACUGUAUCGCUCGAGGGGGAUAGGGGUCUGCGGAACUACCGGUGGAGCGGUGAAAUGUGUUGAUAUCGGUGGGAACGCCAGUGGCGAAAGCGGCAGACUUGACCCUUCCUGACGCUGAGGCGCGAAAGCUAGGGGAGCAAACGG
rnacentral:rRNA from 1 species